rnacentral:rRNA from 1 species
GACAAACGCCGGCGGCGUGCCUAAUACAUGCAAGUAGAACGCGGAAGGAGGAGCUUGCUUCUCUGGAUGAGUUGCGAACGGUUGAGUAACGAGUAAGUCACUUGCCUGGUAGAGGGGGAUAACUAUUGGAAACUAUAGCUAAUACCGCAUAAGAGUAGAUGUUGCAUGACAUUUGCUUAAAAGGCGCAAUUGCAUCACUACCAGAUGGACCUGCGUCGUAUUAGCUAGUUGGUGGGGUAACGGCUCACCAAGGCGACGAUACAUAGCCGACCUGAGAGGGUGAUCGGCCACACUGGGACUGAGACACGGCCCAGACUCCUACGGGAGGCAGCAGUAGGGAAUCUUCGGCAAUGGACGGAAGUCUGACCGAGCAACGCCGCGUGAGUGAAGAAGGUUUUCGGAUCGUAAAGCUCUGUUGUAAGAGAAGAACGAGUGUGAGAGUGGAAAGUUCACACUGUGACGGUAUCUUACCAGAAAGGGACGGCUAACUACGUGCCAGCAGCCGCGGUAAUACGUAGGUCCCGAGCGUUGUCCGGAUUUAUUGGGCGUAAAGCGAGCGCAGGCGGUUAGAUAAGUCUGAAGUUAAAGGCUGUGGCUUAACCAUAGUACGCUUUGGAAACUGUUUAACUUGAGUGCAAGAGGGGAGAGUGGAAUUCCAUGUGUAGCGGUGAAAUGCGUAGAUAUAUGGAGGAACACCGGUGGCGAAAGCGGCUCUCUGGCUUGUAACUGACGCUGAGGCUCGAAAGCGUGGGGAGCAAACAGG